rnacentral:rRNA from 1 species
AUUGAACGCUGGCGGCAUGCCUUACACAUGCAAGUCGAACGGUAACAGGUCUUCGGAUGCUGACGAGUGGUGAACGGGUGCGUAAUACAUCGGAACGUGGCUAGUUGUGGGGGAUAACUACUCGACAGAGUUGCUAAUACCGAACGAGAUCUCUGGACGAAAGCAGGGGACCGUAAGAGCUUGUGCUAGUCUAGCGGCCGUUGGCAGAUUAGGUAGUUGGUGGGAUAAAAGCUUACCAAGCCGACGAUCUGUAGCUGGUCUGAGAGGACGAUCAGCCACACUGGGACUGAGACACGGCCCAGACUCCUACGGGAGGCAGCAGUGGGGAAUGUUGGACAAUGGGCGAAAGCCUGAUCCAGCAAUGCCGCGUGCAGGAUUAAGGCCUUCGGGUUGUAAACUGCUUUUGUACGGAACGAAAAGCUCUGGGUUAAUACCCUGGGGUCAUGACGGUACCGUAAGAAUAAGCACCGGCUUACUACGUGCCAGCCGCCGCAGUAAGAC